GUCGCAUGCUCCCGGCCGCCAUGGCGGCCGCGGGAAUUCGAUUAGAGUUUGAUCAUGGCUCAGGAUGAACGCUGGCGGCGUGCCUAAUACAUGCAAGUCGAGCGCCCCCUUCGGGGGGAGCGGCGGACGGCUGAGUAACACGUAGGAACGUACCCCAAACUGAGGGAUAAGCACCAGAAAUGGUGUCUAAUACCGCAUGUGCUCUUCGGAGUAAAGCUUCGGCGGUUUGGGAACGGCCUGCGCAUGAUUAGCUUGUUGGUGAGGUAAAAGCUCACCAAGGCGAUGAUCAUUAGCUGGUCUGAGAGGAUGACCAGCCAGACUGGGACUGAGAACGGCCCAGACUCCUACGGGAGGCAGCAGUAGGGAAUUUUCCACAAUGGGCGAAAGCCUGAUGGAGCAACGCCGCGUGCAGGACGAAGGCCUUCGGGUCGUA
rnacentral:rRNA from 1 species